rnacentral:rRNA from 1 species
AUCUGGGCGGCGAAAUUCAGGAUGGUCGGCGGGCUUAGUGCACGUCCGGUCGUUUGAUAUUUUCGUCGUCACGUCAGACGUCGCGACCUGUUUGUCGUCGGUCCUUGCUCCGAGGAAUCGCGAUCGAGCUCGUUGUGGGUGUGUUUCGGCAUGCCAUACGGCGAAGACGCGAAACUCUGAUCGACGAUGGACAGUAAGCAACGGUGUGCGAUGUCGUGUCACGCGGUGUCGCUGCCGGUCGGCGACGAUUUCUUCGGGCCUCUUUCCGACCCGUCUUGAAACACGGACCAAGGAGUCUAACAUGCGCGCGAGUCGCGGGGUAUCGAGUGUACCACGGUGCACUCGUUACAUCACGAAACCCGUAUGUUGAAGGCGUAAUGAAAGUGAAUUGGGAAGAUGGUGUUCCGAGUUCACGUUCCGUGAUCACUAAGUAUUACGGCCGGACGCCCGCAUUCCCGGGGCGUCUCGAUGGCUCGUCGCGGAUGCGGACGGUCGUCUCUCGGGGCGGUCGUCGGUCUGCGACGGACCGA